rnacentral:lncRNA from 1 species
AGAGAGAGCCUUAGAGCUUCCAAGGGAUUAACGCACAUUCUGCCUUUGUCACCUAUCAGCAGAAAGUUCUAGGUGAGCAAGAUGUCAAGUACCGGAAGCAUAGAUACACCAGAAGACGUGCAGGAAUGUACAGUGACUCAAACCAGAGGAAUUUCCAUGAGUGGACGUCCUUUCACAACAAGCAAGAUUCCUGUGUGGUCGUUGUUGCUGUCACCUGGGUACCCGGAGGAACAUGUUAAUCCCAGACAGGAAUGAUGUCAUCCAGUGUUUAUAAAGUGCAUUCCAGCCCCAGACAACCGUCUUCCACCUGUGACUCCCUUUACAGAGGACUGUACUUCCUGCCAACUGGGCUGCGGUGCCCUGCCUCCGGGCUCUCCGCACUCACCCUUGCCUGGCAGGUCUGGAAGGACUCAGGGCUAUUUGGUUCUUGGAGCGACCCUUUGACUGCAUCUUCUCACCACCACCUCCUCAGCGGUUAUUUUAGUCAAGCGUUAUAACCAGGAUGAAGGUGCGUGUUACUGAUGCCACGUUCCUUUUCUACUCUGUCACUGCUCAGUGCUGUGCCCUCCCCCAUGGCCUUGCUGUCUCCCCUUGAGCCUGUCCUAAAAGUGACAGCUGGAUCCUGGCUGCAGCUCUCAUCAGCAACUUGAUCUCGGUGGCCCUCUUCCUGCCCAUACAGGUGUGUGCCUGGAUUUCAGGUCACCUUUCACCCUGAGCUGGGAAGCCAACUCACACCUGCCAUCCUAGGCCACCGAUGCUGUGCGCCCUCUCACCUGGUCUGUGCGUCAAGUUACCUGAGAACAGGAAGCCCCGAACCCCUCCCUCUCCUCCCUGCCACCUGCUAACUAAUGAGUGACAUCAUUUAGCACUGUUUUGAAACGAGGGAUUUGAAGUUGUUUUGGAAACUGAAGGAGAAAUACAAAUGUUUGCAUGUUAAACAUUUCGCCCAAAUGCUAGAAUGUGAGUGUCUCUUUAUUGUGACAGUUCUGGGGGAGAGUAAGCUCCAGGUUGUCAGUGAGCAUCCUCGCACAGGGGUUUGACACUCGGCAUGGCAGUGGGAGGCAGCUUAAAAAUAGUUUAAAGAAAGAGAAGUGUUCAAGGCUUUUCUAACCGUCUCGGGUCAACAGUCUGCCUUCUAGUUUAGUGUUUUAGUGAAAAUGAAAUUCUACCCAUAUGCAUCCUAUAAUGGUUAUGUAUUGUCUCCAAGCAUCCAAUGUAUGUUUCCGAUAGGAAGUUUGUAAGGAAUAGAGGUAUAAAUAACAAUGAAAAAUUACAACUCAUAGGGAUAAUCAUGCAUAAUAAAUACUGUAAGUGUGUUCUCAUACUCUUUCCAGGCAUAUGUAUUGUUACAGUCUAAUGCUUAAAAAUAAGAAUGUGGAGAGAGAGAGAGAGAGAGAGAGAGAGAGAGAGAGAGAGAGAGAGAGUAAAGAUGCCAAAGCUGGUAACAUGAAUUUGAUUCCUGGAACACACAUGGAGGAAGAAGAGAGAUGUUUCUGAUGAAUUGUCUUCUGCUCUCUAUACCUACCAUGUAGCAUAUAUGUACACACACACACACACACACACACACACACAGAAAGAGAGAGAGAGAGUUAAAUAAGUUAAUUAAUUAAUAAAAUUUGGAGGAAUAUUUUAAAUGGAAGUUGUAUUCUGUAUUAUUCUUAGAAUUACAAUUUUCAAAGGAGGCAUUUGUAUUGCCUUUAUUUUUCUUCAUUACAUGAGCAUGUAUAUUCAUUAUUAGGAAAAUAAAAAAAAAACGCAAAAAAGAUGAGAAAAUAAAAGCCAGCAGUAACCU